UUCAAUGGCCUACAGCCUAUGCAUUU
rnacentral:piRNA from 1 species